GAGCUCGAUGGCAGUUGGGACAGCAGCUGGGGUCCUGCGGCCGCGACCCUCACAGACCGCAGGUCUCUCUGCUCCGCUUUCCUUAGCUUCCCGCUCGCUGGACUGAGUGCUCUGCAAACUGCUUGCUCUUGGGUUACACUUCUUGUCAUUCUAGAAGCACGCACUACGUAUAGCACAGUAACUAUUAAACUGCAAAUAGGAAAUUGUUUUCGGUACUGGGGAGGGCUAAGCUGACCAAGAGCUUGCGGUAUAAGGACCCAGAUGCCCAGCGUACGUAAAAGUUAACAGAACUUGACUAUUGAAACUCCCUAGUGAAGAGAACUCAAGGGACGUUCUGGAAAUACAGCUAUUCUGCAAAGCUCAGCCCUCUACCUUUUUCCUCCUGGCACCCAACACAACAGAAUCCAGCUGCUUUCCUAGGACGGAGCUAUCAUUCCAGGGCACAAGGCGGCUGGCAGGAAGAACAUGCAUUGGCUCUCCUUUUCAUACUCAACUGUAGUUGCUUCUCCAAUGAACUUUGUACCGAUUCCUCCCAAAGUAAGUCUGGACAAUACUGACACCACAUUGUAACACUUCAGAAGUAAAAGUGCAUGCUAAACCCAGCAAGCAACUGCUGCACCCUGAUUCCGGAAAGGGACUUGGAAGUCGGAGAUUAGCCGUGUAUCAGAGGUGGAGACAGGUUGAGGACAAAGCAGAGAGAUGCUGGAUACCCAGUGUGGUGAUUGGGUGACAGCAUGUCGCCCAUGGUCUCUGGCAUUUGAAUGCUUGCUUCCAGAUGGCAGCCUGGCUGAGGGAGUGUCACUGGGGGUGGGCUUUGAGGGUUCAAAGACUCCUCUCUGUGGUCUGUUUCCUGCUUAUGCCUGGUGCUGGCUGUCAGACGUCCCCACUGUGACCGUGAUGGGCUCUUGUGUGUAUUGUCAGCAUGAGACACACCCUUGCUUUGUAAGUUGCCUUGUCAUGGUGUUUUUAGUUCUGUUAUUACACCAAGAGUAUACUUUCCUUAUUUGAUUUAUACAAAUAAAAUGAA